UCCGGGGAGCCAAGAGACUUGCCCAAAGUCGCUCAGAGGGCGGUGACAAAGCAAACUUACAUCUGCGACUCCUUGCUUUCCCCCAAGGCUGUGCUCUGUGAAGCUCGGGCCCUGCAGGAUUUGCCUCGCUCUCAUUGGAUCUAGAGUCUGUCCACAGUAGUAGAGACUCUGAGACUACUCUGCCUCUUAAAAACUUCUCUGUGCCAGGGGAGCAAGUACUUCAAGAUCCAUUUUGCAGGCACUUUCAAGUAAAUGGCCAGCUUUGCACUCAUCUCCUUUUCCCCAAUGGGACCUCCUUUUUCCGCAAGAGUCACUAAAGAUCAGAAACAUAAUAGGAUACAGUGGCCUUCUGAGAAGCUCAGCUGAUUACCUCAUGAAAAUAGAAGUUGGAGAAGUUGAGAUGGUGGAUACAAAAGGCAACAAAUUACAUCACAAAAUGAUUCUGGAAUCCGUACAACGGACUACUCUCCUGCACAUGGGCAAAUCCUUUUUCCUCUCAACCAAUCAAGUUAAUCCUACUUCCCAGGCCAGUGACUAGUUUACAAAUGGGCAGAUGGUAUAAUUCUAGCCAAUGAGACACAAUGUACCGGGGUGGUCGUGGUGCUCGGAAAAGAUGUGCAUUGGAAGAAAGUUAUUUCUGUUCUUCUUCUAAUGAGGCUGUUUCUACAUGUACACCUCCUGUAAUAGCCCAGCCAUCUUGGCACUGUGAAGGGAGCUGGAAGAAAGAUGGAAACAAUGUUGAGUUGAAGAAUUAAUGAAGUCUAAAGUUUCUACCUCUGGACUCAUUACAGGAAAUAAAUUUUCCUUAUUGUUUAAGCCA